rnacentral:rRNA from 1 species
CCUACGGGAGGCAGCAGUGGGGAAUAUUGGACAAUGGGGGGAACCCUGAUCCAGCGACGCCGCGUGAGUGAAGAAGUAUUUCGGUAUGUAAAGCUCUAUCAGCAGGGAAGAAAGAAAUGACGGUACCUGACUAAGAAGCCCCGGCUAACUACGUGCCAGCAGCCGCGGUAAUACGUAGGGGGCAAGCGUUAUCCGGAUUUACUGGGUGUAAAGGGAGCGUAGACGGCGAUGCAAGUCUGAAGUGAAAGGCGGGGGCCCAACCCCCGGACUGCUUUGGAAACUGUAUGGCUGGAGUGCAGGAGAGGUAAGUGGAAUUCCUAGUGUAGCGGUGAAAUGCGUAGAUAUCUGGAGGAACAUCAGUGGCGAAGGCGACUAUCUGGCACAUAACUGACGCUGAGGAGCGAAAGCGUGGGUAGCAAACAGGAUUAGAUACCCGUGUAGUC